UCAAAUCCAUUGCAAUAAAUUGAAACGUAGCUAAAAUAAAUUGGCCGAAAAUGAAUGGAUUUGGCCGGAAAUAUACGCGGGACGGACAUUGCAAUAAAUUGAAAUGUAGCUAAAAUUUUUGCUACAAUUAAAAAGUUUGUCAAAAAACCAAAUUUUGGAAAAAUGUCAGGUAUUUUGAUGCAAUUAACCCUUUAUUUAAAAUAUCGUUUACUUUCAAUAUCGAUCGUGCAUCGCACGAGCGGGUAUACUAGUAUAUAUCAAUACUUCAAUGGUAAGUCAGUGCAUGCACAAUUGUGAAUAAAUAAUGAUAAGGUUCGCCACAAUGUGAAAAAUGCCCAAAAUGUCAAUGAAAAUGCAAGCUAGCCUUCGGAUAUUAUUCAAACUAUUUUCAUUAUCCCUGGAAAAAAAAAGGCUUAUCAAGUUUACAAAUUAAUUCUGACAAAUUGAAGAAAAGCGG
rnacentral:lncRNA from 1 species